rnacentral:rRNA from 1 species
GUCGGGAAUUUUGGGCAAUGGGGGCAACCCUGACCCAGCAACGCCGCGUGAGCGAUGAAGGCCUUCGGGUCGUAAAGCUCUGUCGGGAGGGAAGAAGGCUCUCGGGGUGAAUAAUCUCGGGGGAUUGACGGUACCUCCAAAGGAAGCGCCGGCUAACUCCGUGCCAGCAGCCGCGGUAAUACGGAGGGCGCAAGCGUUGUUCGGAAUCACUGGGCGUAAAGCGCGUGUAGGCGGCUUGGUAAGUCGGGUGUGAAAGCCCGGGGCCUAACCCCGGAACUGCACUCGAAACUGCCUCGCUAGAGUCUCGGAGAGGGUGGUGGAAUUCCCGGUGUAGUGGUGAAAUACGUAGAUAUCGGGAGGAACACCAGCGGCGAAGGCGGCCACCUGGACGAUGACUGACGCUGAGACGCGAAAGCGUGGGGAGCAAACAGGAUUAGAUACCCCAGUAGUCC